GGUUACGGCCAUACUACCCUGAACACACCCAAUCUCAUCUGAUUUUGGAAGCUAAGCAGGGUCAGACCUAGUUAGUACUUGGAUGGGAGACCCCAUGGGAAUACCAGGUGCCGUAGGUU
rnacentral:rRNA from 1 species